UUACAACUUGCUUGGUGACUUUGACUUUCUUACUGUUAUUUAACCAGUAUAGAUUAUAGGGAUGUGAGUGCUUUAUACGAGACAAUCCUACCCUAUUUACAAGUAAAGUAUUGGCUACAUUAGUACAAUUCCCUUCAUCGAUGAUGAUGUUGCAAAACUUUUUGUUCACGAAGGAUCUAAAACAGAAGAUAUUCUCCCUCUGAUCAGUACCAUCGGGUUUGACUUAUAUGUUCAAAGCAUGCUAGAUCACAAACAUGUCCCCCCGCACUAGUUACAUGAUGUUUUCCUUGCUUUCAGCUACUAGGGGUAACUCUUCCUACUCAUUAUCAAUGUCAUGAUCACUAACCACAUUCCCAUCAUCCCGUAAGAUCAUUGUCUGUUGAUUAGGACACUGGGAUGUGAUAUGUCCAACUCUUAAAUACUUAAGACACUUUACAGUACUCUAUCUGAUAACAAGUGUUUUAGGAUUACAUAUUAGGUUAGGGACAAGUGA
rnacentral:lncRNA from 1 species